rnacentral:misc_RNA from 1 species
GUCACUCACUCAUCACGAAAUCUCCGAAACUAUAACACUUACAAACUUGAAAUUUGGCAGGUAGGCUCCUUAUAAGACGUAGGCAUCCGCUAAGAACGGAUUUUACGAAACUCGACCCCUAAGGGGAUAAAACGGGGGUUAGAAGUUUGUAUGAAAGUCCUAUGUUUUUAAAUAAAAGACUUGAAAUUUAAAAUGUAUGCUCUAUAGAUG